GGCUAUGGUCAUACCACCCUAAAUGUAUCUGAUCUCAUCUGAUCUUGAAAGCUAAGCAGAAUUGAGUUUGGUUAGUACUUGGAUGGGAGAGUGCCUGGGAAUAGAGGUUCUGUAAGCA
rnacentral:rRNA from 1 species